GUGAAGAUUAAAUGGGGCCUGGAAUGUAAAGCUAUUAGCACAGCUCAAAGAGAUGAUCUCAUUGUGGUUCUCAUCUGUGGGCUAAAGCAGGAUGUACAGAAUGAAUGACGGUCAAGGACUUAUGUUGUAUCUUGUGUCUAUCUGGGUGUCCAGGACAUCCCAAGUAUAUCUUUGAAUUUGCUUCGGUGAAAAUGUAGAUCAAUGCCGCUCGGGGGCACGGUGCUUCUUGUGUUCCGGUUCCUCACUGAAGAGACUCAGUCUAAGCAUUUCCUCGUUACAACUUCAAGUGGAAAAAUGUGUACCUUAUCUUCCUUUUACAGACAGCACAGGUCAGAAACUGCAAUGAGGAAGGUAUGCUUGUAGCGCUAAGAAGCUAGUGGACCAUCUGGCAGUGGAGGAGGACAGAGCAGAUGCAAGUCCAAUCUCACAUGAGUUUGAAGACAUCUAAUAUAUCGGCUAAAGAUCCAUACAAACCCCAGUGUGGUUUCCAGAGCUAACUGUCAUUAUCUGUGAUCACUGCUGGAUGGCUACCCUGUGCCCCCCCAAGAUUCUUUGGCAACCAAGUUGAUCCCUUUUAUUCAGAACUGGAGGUAUUCCCUGGGGGCACAUAUGCCA